AAAGGUGGUUAGUGUGGAUCAGUAAUGAUAAGACUGCUAGCUACCUCUUUUUACAAUUGAAGAGUCAGGACAAUAUUUAUAAGCCUACUCCUGUCGAAGAGGUAGAAGAGGAGCAAAAGGAAGAAGAGUCUGAUGAUGAUGAUGAGGCCCCUGAGAUAACGCUAUGGGAAGCAAUCGGAUGGCUAGGUGUUUUAAUUCUUUGGAUUUCCGUUCUUUCUGGAGACCUGGUUGAUGCGAUAAAGGGAGCAUCAGACUUAUGGAAUAUGCCAGUGGCAUUCUCAGUGUCAUUUUGCUUCCUAUUUUAGGAAAUGCUGCAGAUCUUGUGGAGUCCAGAUCCAUGAUGAUGAAGUGUAUUG